rnacentral:rRNA from 1 species
UACGUAGGGUGCAAGCGUUAAUCGGAAUUACUGGGCGUAAAGCGUGCGCAGGCGGUUCGUUGUGUCGGCGGUGAAAGCCCCGGGCUCAACCUGGGAAUGGCCGUUGAAACUGGCGAACUGGAGUGUGGCAGAGGGGGGUGGAAUUCCGCGUGUAGCAGUGAAAUGCGUAGAGAUGCGGAGGAACACCGAUGGCGAAGGCAGCCCCCCUGGGCUGACACUGACGCUCAGGCACGAAAGCGUGGGGAGUAAACAGG